ensembl:snoRNA small nucleolar RNA SNORD59
UCUUCUGUGAUGAUCAACACAUUGACUUUCGUUCUUCUGAGUGUACUGAAGCCAUCUUUUUGUCCUGAGAAGA